UAACAUUUGCGGUGAUGUCGGGGCGGGGGACAGCGUGCUGCUUGCAUCGCCGCCUUGUUCUUUUGAUGAUGCAUUUGGCACCUGGCACUGAAACAGGCCCCCCCACUUCCCUCUCAGGUCCGACAGCGCCUUGGCAAUGCCCUCGUCCUCCCUAUGCUCUUGUUUUCUGUUGUCUCAGCAUAAUUAUUGAGCCUUCCAUCGAUUCUUCUUUUGGCAUUGACUUUGCUUCUGUCUUUGCCUUUGUUUUUGCUUGUAGUUAAUUUGCUUUUGGUAAUUGAGCGUUAUACCCACUUUGACCCCUCCACCCGCCGAAACCCGUGGAUGACGCAUGCGAGUGAAAAGAGAAAACAACAAGAACAUUUGAAGGAAUUGUGUAAAGAGAAAACAACAAGAACAAGGAGGAAACUUUGAAAAGAGAAAACAACAAGAACGCUAAGAAACUAUAACGAAAUUUGAGCAAGAAGCAGGGAGAAAAGCAAGCAGGCUACAUUAAAUAGAAGAAACUGUAACGCAAAGGAGACUAAGAAGCAGGACAGAAGGCAGAGCAUAUUUACAUUCACAUGCAUGACUCAUGUUCACAGCAGGACGUCGUGACAUGGAAGAGAAGAGAGAAUAGACAGGAGGUCAUGUAUGAAAAGAGAAGCGUGGUGACAGCGGUGAAGUAAGUAGCCGGCUUUGUUGUUGCUUGCCUGACUUCAUCCAACUGUGACGCGAGAGAGAGCGAACAAACCCAGAGAGAGAGAGCGAGCGCAAAUCAGCUGUAAAUGCAAAGGCAAAGGGACCUUGGAACGUAGCAAGCAGACCACGAAAAAUAUGAAGACCUAUAAUUUGUGCUCCGAAGCCUGGAUACCCUUGCAGAACCUUCUACGGUAGCUAAAUAUAGUACCCGGUUUUGAUACAGCUUAUCAGUAUCAUCAAGGUUCGAGAAGCUUUCUUUUUGGUACUGCAAACAUUUUCUCCAAAUCAUAUUACCUUCUGAAAGAGUACCGUUUUAUUGAGCAGGGUGAAUUGCAAUCGAACGAAUAUCAAUUUCGGGCUUAAUCCAUGUAGCUCGAAACUUUUUGCUUCCCUUAUUGUUUUCCAAACAGAAACUUUCUGGCAUUGCAACUUCUAGUCUCAUCUUCCGUUUUGCCGUUUUUUGUGUUCUCCCCCACUCACAGGGGCGUUGUGGCCUUGACAACAGUUUUGACAUUGACUCUCCAGCAGCUAUUAGAGAGAAAGAGAGAUUGAGAGAGUGUUCUUUGCCUGCAGCUUCCUUCCCAUUUUGUUACUUUGUUUGGUUUCCAUUCAGCCUUCGGCUGUGGGGCAGGAACACCUGUUGCUGAAUAUGGGAAUGCGUUGAGCGUUUGUGUUGUGUACAAACUUUUCCAAUUUUGUAGCUAAUAAAUUCAG